rnacentral:tRNA from 1 species
UCCCAGAUGGCUUAGUGGUAAAGAAUCUGCCUGCAGUGCAGGAGAUGCAGGUUCAGUCCCUGGGUGGGGAA